rnacentral:piRNA from 1 species
CAGGAAUGGUACACCUCGGGACGGUGG